UCUCUGUCUUUUCUCUUUCUGUUCUUGUUGUUGUGAUUGUUGUGAAAACAAAGAAAGAUGUCUGACCCUCAAAACGAAAAGAAA
rnacentral:ribozyme from 13 species